AGUGAACGCUGGCGGUAGGCCUAACACAUGCAAGUCGAACGGCAGCACAGUAAGAGCUUGCUCUUACGGGUGGCGAGUGGCGGACGGGUGAGGAAUACAUCGGAAUCUACUUUUUCGUGGGGGAUAACGUGGGGAAACUUACGCUAAUACCGCAUACGACCUACGGGUGAAAGCAGGGGAUCUUCGGACCUUGCGCGAUUGAAUGAGCCGAUGUCGGAUUAGCUAGUUGGCGGGGUAAAGGCCCACCAAGGCGACGAUCCGUAGCUGGUCUGAGAGGAUGAUCAGCCACACUGGAACUGAGACACGGUCCAGACUCCUACGGGAGGCAGCAGUGGGGAAUAUUGGACAAUGGGCGCAAGCCUGAUCCAGCUAUACCGCGGGGGUGAAGAAGGCCUUCGGGUUGUAAAGCCCUUUUGUUGGGAAAGAAAAGCAGCAGGUUAAUACCCCGCUGUUCUGACGGUACCCAAAGAAUAAGCACCGGCUAACUUCGUG
rnacentral:rRNA from 1 species